AUUGAACGCUGGCGGCAGGCCUAACACAUGCAAGUCGAGCGAGCGGCGGACGGGUGAGUAAUGUAUGGGGAUCUGCCCGAUAGAGGGGGAUAACUACUGGACACGGUGGCUAAUACCGCAUACCAUCGGAUGUGCCCAGAUGGGAUUAGCUAGUAGGUGGGGUAACGGCUCACCUCGGCGACGAUCCCUAGCUGGUCUGAGAGGAUGACCAGUCACACGGGAACUGAGACACGGUCCAGACUCCUACGGGAGGCAGCAGUGGGGAAUAUUGCACAAUGGGCGAAAGCCUGAUGCAGCCAUGCCGCGUGUAUGAAGAAGGCCUUCGGGUUGUAAAGUACUUUCAGCGAGGAGGCGUUACUCGCAGAAGAAGCACCGGCUAACUCCGUGCCAGCAGCCGCGGUAAUUC
rnacentral:rRNA from 1 species